GAAGGAUUACUGGGAAAAAGGCACUCAGUCCAGAAAGAGUAAAGAACAGUGGUUUGAUGUGAACAUCCAUAUUCUGAUGAGCCGCAUGAGACCACAAUGAAUCAGAUCUUCAUGUUCUUCAGUGUAGAGUUGGUUGUGAAGUUGAGCAGGAGGGAGAUGAAGUGAAGUUUCUCAAAGGCAUUGAUGAGCACGGCUAUGAUGGAGAAAACUUCUUAUCUUUUGAUGAUAAAGAGUCUCAGUGGGUCGCCUUUAUUGAUGAAGCUCUACCAACCAAGAGAAAAUGGGACAAUGUGCCGAUCCUAAACCAAUACACCAAAGGAUACCUGGAGAAAGAGUGUGUGGACUGGCUCAACAAAUUCAGAGGAUAUGGAGACGAGAAGCUCAGAAACGGCUCUCCUCCAAAUGUUUAUGUGAUUGAAAAGAAGAAUACCAAUGAUGAAACCAAGCUGAAACUCACCUGUCUGGCCACUGGCUUCUACCCCAAAGACGUGAUGAUGAGCAUUAG